rnacentral:tRNA from 1 species
GGUGGUGGCUCAGUGGUAGAGUGCUUGCCUAGCAUGUGUGAGGCACUGGGUUUGAUUCUCAGCACCA